AUUGAACGCUGGCGGCAUGCUUUACACAUGCAAGUCGAACGGCAGCGCGGGCUUCGGCCUGGCGGCGAGUGGCGAACGGGUGAGUAAUGCAUCGGAACGUGCCCAGUAGUGGGGGAUAGCCCGGCGAAAGCCGGAUUAAUACCGCAUACGACCUGAGGGUGAAAGCGGGGGACCGAAAGGCCUCGCGCUAUUGGAGCGGCCGAUGUCGGAUUAGCUAGUUGGUGGGGUAAAGGCUUACCAAGGCGACGAUCCGUAGCUGGUCUGAGAGGACGACCAGCCAAACUGGGACUGAGACCCGGCCAAGAUUCUUAGGGGGGGCAGCAGUGGGGAAUUUUGGACAAUGGGGCAACCCUGAUCCAGCCAUGCCGCGUGCGGGAAGAAGGCCUUCGGGUUGUAAACCGCUUUUGUUCGGGAAGAAAUCCUCUGGGCUAAUACCCCGGGGGGAUGACGGUACCGGAAGAAUAAGCACCGGCUAACUACGUG
rnacentral:rRNA from 1 species